GAUGAAGAACGUAGCGAAAUGCGAUACUUGGUGUGAAUUGCAGAAUCCCGUGAACCAUCGAGUCUUUGAACGCAAGUUGCGCCUCAAGCCAUUAGGUUGAGGGCACGUCUGCCUGGGCGUCACAUAUCGUUGCCUGAUGCCAGUUUCCUCGUGAUGGGUGACUGUGCAGGGCGAAUGAUGGCUUCCCGUGAGCAUUGUUGCCUCAUGGUUGGUUGAAAAUUGAGUCCUUGGUAGGGAGCGCCGUGAUAGAUGGUGGUUGAGUGACGAACGAGACCCAAUCAUGUGAGACCCCUACCGAAUUUGGCCUUCAUGACCCACAUGCGUCUUUGGAACGCUCAUGACGAGACCUCAGGUCAGGCGGGGCUACCCGCUGAGUUUAAGCAUAUCAAUAAGCGGGGGA
rnacentral:misc_RNA from 1 species